UACAGAGGGGGCAAGCGUUGUCCGGAUUUAUUGGGCGUAAAGAGCGUGUAGGCGGCUAGGUAGGUCCGUUGUGAAAACUCGAGGCUCAACCUCGAGACGCCGGUGGAAACCAUCUAGCUAGAGUCCGGAAGAGGAGAGUGGAAUUCCUGGUGUAGCGGUGAAAUGCGCAGAUAUCAGGAAGAACACCCGUGGCGAAGGCGGCUCUCUGGGACGUGACUGACGCUGAGACGCGAAAGCGUGGGGAGCGAACAGG
rnacentral:rRNA from 1 species